UUAGGUACCAGUAAAUUAUCUGCUUACCGAAAGUAUGCCUCAUAUCUGCCGCUAUCAGCAUAUCUGGGAUUAAGCGACUAUCUUAGUUACCUACCAAUAGCCAUCAAACCUUAGCUCCAGUUUGCUGCCAAAUCAAGUGCCCAACAACAUGACAUCUUCAUCAGGCGACAGACAACAGAGCAGAAAAAAAUAGCAUAAAGCAUGCCACGCUGAUGAUACUAAAUAUAUAGCAAGAAGUAAGGAGAAAAGGCGCUAGCGCAGGAGCAAGAGCGUACAAACACAGUAGCGCCACCAACGCCUUUAGCGUUGCAACAGCAACAUCAAACUACAACAAUAAUAAUAACAAUAACGGCAACAACAGCACGAUAAACCGCAGCCAGCUGCAAGCACAGGCGGUGAGUAGUGACCAGUGGCCCGUUGGCUGAGUUCAUCGGAAUUACCAACAGCAUUCAAAGGACAACAAUUACAAGGGUUUCAUGAAGAAAAUAGGCAAAAGAAAAAAAGGCGAAGGAAACAAAAAGUUUUUU